UGAUGUGGAAGGAUGAGGGCACCUUCGGUAGAAUUUCUAGGAGCAAGUAUAGGAUGACUCUGUACUUAAAAAAUAUGGUGUAUAGUGGAUCUGCCAUGUGUGCUGCAGUUUCUCCUGCGCAUCUUGCAGAGGCAAUUGCUACCAGAAAUGCAGUGUUCAUAGACAAAUGUAGGAGGGAACACGUGGCUAAUGGUUCAAAUGGUUUUUGAGUUAGGCAUGUUAAGACUAAGAAACGGUCUCAAGAUGGAUUAGGUGGUUUGAUGUCUGAGUAUAGAGUUUGGAGUCCCUUAAGGAAUCGCUUAGUAAUGGGGUGAGCAAAGAUAGUCCUAUCGUCGAUGGCAUCAUGGAAUAUGGUAAUUGUGGCCAAGUGGACUUUGAUGGAACUCAGGGAGAGUCUGUUAGAGAUUAAACUCUCUGGAUAGUCGAGGAUUAGUGGGAGAGGCGUGGAAAAAAGGAGUGGUUUUUGUGACAGCCCACCAGUGUGUAAAUCAUGUCAGUUAUGAAGGCAAGUGGUGCAUGUAGAAUUUGUUGUACUAUGAAGGAGUACAUUUCAAACCUGCUCCAUGGUUAAAUUGGGGUGGAGUAAUAGGCCAUGUUGUUGGGACAAGAGAUUCAGGUGGAGGGUAGUGGGAUGGGUGCGGAAAGCGACAUCUUGGUAAGGAAAGGGAACCGUGCCUUUCUGGGCCAUGUGGGGCUAUCACGACUCUGGCUUGGUUUGUUCAUAUUUUUUUAAUCAAUAAUUUGUGUAGAGUGGUAUCAGAGAAAUGCAUACAUUAGGUCAGUGUUCCAUGGGAACGUGAAUGCAUCCCCUGGGGAGUGUUUGCCUAGUCCUGCUCUAGAACAAAAUCUUGGGAAUUUCUUGUUUGCUGCAGUUGCAAAAAGGUCGGUGGUUGAGUAUCCCCAGUGUGUGGAAUAUGUCCAGUACUAGAUCCUCAUUUAGUUUCCAUUUGUGGUCUAUGGGAAAUCUUCUGCUGAAGUCGUCACAGUGGUAUUGAGAGAGUCAGGUGAGUAUGCAGCUGAUAUUCAGACAUUGUGUCUGAGACACCAGUUCCAUCGUUUCUGUACAAAGAGUAGGAUCACAACCCUUCCCCCCCUUUGCCUGGUUACAUAGAACAUGCAGGUAACGUUAUCGGUCAUUAGCCUGACAUGUUGGUUUUGUAUGAAGGGGAGAAAUUGAAGGCAGGCAUUAUCUAUGGCUCAGAGUUCUAGAUGUUGAUGUGAAGGGACAUCUCGGCCAGAGACGAAAGCCCCUGGUUAAUGUGUUGGGGCAUGUGUACUCCCUCUCCCGUAAGGGAUGCAUCUGUAGUUAUGACAACCAACAGGACAUCCUGUAGAAAGGGGACCCCUGAGGAAAGGUUGUGAGGCAAUGUUCACCACUGGAGGGAGUCUCUGACUCUGGGAGAUAUGUAUAAAAGUUUGUUCAGACCAUGGAUAUUCUGUCUGUAGACAAUGGAAUCCAGCUUUGGAAACACCUCAUGAAGAGGCGAGAAUUCCUGACUACAAAAGCGCAAGAGGCCAUGUCAUCAACAGAUAGUUAAGGGUUAAUGUCUCUUUUACCUGUAAAGGGUUAAGAAGCUCAGUAAACCUGGCUGACACCUGACCAGAGGACCAACAGAGGGACAAGAUACUUUCAAAUCUUGGUGGAGGGAAGUUUUUGUUUGUGCUUUUUGUUUUGGAUGUUGUUCGCUCUUAGGACUAAGAGGGACCAGACGUCAAUCCAGGCUCUCCAAAUCUUUCUAACCCAGUCUCUCAUGUUUCAAAAUUGUAAGUAACAGCCAGGGAAGCCGGAUUAGUUUUAUUUUUGUUUUCUCAACUUGUAAAUGUCCUUUUUUUGCUGAGAGGAUUUUACCUGUUUGCUGUAACUUUGAACCUAAAGGGGGUUCCUCUGGGGCUAUACGAAUUUGAUUACCCUGUAAAGUAUUUUCCAUCCUGAUUUUACAGAGAUGAUUUUUACCUUUCUUCUUUAAUUAAAAGCUCUCUUUUUAAGAGCCUGAUUGAUUUUUCCUUGUUUUAAGAUCCAAGGGGUUUGGACCUGUGUUCACCAGGGAACUGGUGAAGUCCCUCAAGGCCACCCAGGGAGAGGAGAGUUUUGGGGGGACAGGAAGUGCUCCAGACACUGACUUCUGGAUGGUGGCAGUGUACCAGAUCUAAGCUAGUAAUUAAGCUUAGACGUGUCCAUGCAGGUCCCCACAUUUGUACCCUAAAGUUCAGAGUGGGGAAGGAACCUUGACAGGCUAUGUGGCCUCAGAGUUUAGGAAAGCUCAUGCAGCCACUUGUGGACUGUUGCACAGCUUGGGAACGAAAAGGUUGAUGGUGUUAAAAAGGUGGAGUAGGAGAGGUGCUAUUCUUUUGUGUGCAUUGAAAUGUGCUCCUAUGAACUCCAGCUGUUGGAGUGAGUGAAGAUAUUCUUUGCUCAUUUACAGGCCAAGAGCAUGGAAACAUUGGACACUCUGUUGUGUGGAGUGAAUGGCUUCCUGAAGGGUCCUGGCUUUGAAAAGGCAAUUGUCGAGGUCCACUUGAGGAGUCCUCCAGAACUAAAAGAUGGAGCAGGAGAUGUCUAGGAGUAAAGAUCACUUGUGGUAUUGGAGAAGAUCCUGCUCAGACAAUCCACAAAUGUGUCCUGCUUCCUAGAAAGGCGCCCCUGUGCAUUGAAUGCAGACAGGACAGCAGAUACACUGAACAACAUUAGCAGCCACCAUCACCAAGGAAUCUGGAAGAAGGCGAGUACAAAUUUCAUAUCCCUUACUGGGGACAAAGUACCUCCUUUCAGCUCACUUUGCUGUGGGAGCUAAUGAGGAUGGUAACUGCCAGAGCACCUUGAUUUGCUCCAUCAUGGCUUCAUUAAACUGGCAAAGGCAAGCUGUCAGGGCUGGCAAUACCAGAAUGUCCACCAACUUGUGGGAGCUUUCACCCCCUCUGCCUGAAUGUCAGGAACAGAGGCCACCCUUCCCAACAGAUUUUGAUAAGCCCCAUGGUUCUCUGGAGGUGGUGAAUCGCUUGCUGCCUCAACAGCCUCAUCUGGCAAUGAGAAAGAGGACACCACAGGAUUCUGAGGUAGAGGUUGCUCCAAUACUUAUGGUGGGGAAGCCGCCUGAGUGACUUCUGGCUGGCUGGCACUGUUCUUGGUACAGUGCCCAGAAAAUGAUGUCUGAUGCUGAUGCCACCCAAGCCGUUUCAAUGACGAAAAAUGAGACGUUGCAGGAAGGUCCUAGCAGGAGGAGGGAUGCCUCAUGGUCAGCCGCUAACAUGGGCCUGGGACCCAACUUUGAUGGGGCCAUUACACCUUUGGAGGAGGAAAAGGCCAGUGCUGUGACUGUUGCAUGACCCAUGGUCCUCAAGUCUCUGAUGGAGCGUAUGUUCUCUGUUUUGGAUGACAGAGGGAUGCGCC